CGCCGGAAGACCAAGGGUUCCUGUCCAACGUUAAUCGGGGCAGGGUGAGUCGACCCCUAAGGCGAGGCCGAAAGGCGUAGUCGAUGGGAAACGGGUUAAUAUUCCCGUACUUGGUGUUACUGCGAAGGGGGGACGGAGAAGGCUAUGUUGGCCGGGCGACGGUUGUCCCGGUUUAAGCGUGUAGGUGUGUGUUCCAGGUAAAUCCGGUUCACUUUAACACUGAGGCGUGACGACGAGGCACUACGGUGCUGAAGCAACAAAUGCCCUGCUUCCAGGAAAAGCCUCUAAGCAUCAGGUAACAUCAAAUCGUACCCCAAACCGACACAGGUGGUCAGGUAGAGAAUACCAAGGCGCUUGAGAGAACUCGGGUGAAGGAACUAGGCAAAAUGGUGCCGUAACUUCGGGAGAAGGCACGCUGACACGUAGGUGAAGUGAUUUACUCAUGGAGCUGAAGUCAGUCGAAGAUACCAGCUGGCUGCAACUGUUUAUUAAAAACACAGCACUGUGCAAACACGAAAGUGGACGUAUACGGUGUGACGCCUGCCCGGUGCCGGAAGGUUAAUUGAUGGGGUCAGCGCAAGCGAAGCUCCUGAU
rnacentral:rRNA from 1 species